rnacentral:rRNA from 1 species
UACGUAGGUGGCAAGCGUUGUCCGGAUUUAUUGGGUUUAAAGGGUGCGUAGGCGGCUUUGUAAGUCAGUGGUGAAAUAUGGCAGCUUAACUGUCAGGGUGCCAUUGAUACUGCGGAGCUUGAGUACAGAUGAGGUAGGCGGAAUUGACGGUGUAGCGGUGAAAUGCUUAGAUAUCGUCAAGAACACCUAUAGCGAAGGCAGCUUACUAGGCUGUAACUGACGCUGAGGCACGAAAGUGUGGGGGAUCAAACAGGA